AGUGAACGCUGGCGGUAGGCCUAACACAUGCAAGUCGAACGGCAGCACAGAGGAGCUUGCUCCUUGGGUGGCGAGUGGCGGACGGGUGAGGAAUACAUCGGAAUCUACUCUGUCGUGGGGGAUAACGUAGGGAAACUUACGCUAAUACCGCAUACGACCUACGGGUGAAAGCAGGGGACCUUCGGGCCUUGCGCGAUUGAAUAAGCCGAUGUCGGAUUAGCUAGUUGGCGGGGUAAAGGCCCACCAAGGCGACGAUCCGUAGCUGGUCUGAGAGGAUGAUCAGCCACACUGGAACUGAGACACGGUCCAGACUCCUACGGGAGGCAGCAGUGGGGAAUAUUGGACAAUGGGCGCAAGCCUGAUCCAGCCAUACCGCGUGGGUGAAGAAGGCCUUCGGGUUGUAAAGCCCUUUUGUUGGGAAAGAAAUCCAGCUGGCUAAUACCCGGUUGGGAUGACGGUACCCAAAGAAUAAGUACCGGCUAACUUCGUGCCAGCCGCCGCAGUAA
rnacentral:rRNA from 1 species